rnacentral:rRNA from 1 species
UACGUAGGGGGCAAGCGUUGUCCGGAAUUAUUGGGCGUAAAGAGCGUGUAGGCGGCCAGAAGUAAGUCCGCUGUGAAACUCGAGGCUCAACUUCGAGCUGUCGGUGGAAACUUAUCGUGCUAGAGUCCGGAAGAGGAGAAUGGAAUUCCUGGUGUAGCGGUGAAAUGCGCAGAUAUCAGGAAGAACACCCGUGGCGAAGGCGGUUCUCUGGGACGGUACUGACGCUGAGACGCGAAAGCGUGGGGAGCGAACAGG